GACGAGGGGUCCUAGCGUUGUUCGGAAUCACUGGGCGUAAAGCGUAUGUAGGCGGCUUUUCAAGUCAGGUGUGAAAUCCCAUGGCUUAACCAUGGAACUGCAUUUGAAACUGUAAAGCUUGAGUAUUGGAGAGGAUGGUAGAAUUCCUGGUGUAGUGGUGAAAUACGUAGAUAUCUGGAGGAAUACCGGUGGCGAAGGCGGCAUCCUGGACCGACAUUGACGCUGAUGAGCGAAAGCUAGGGGAGCAAACGGG
rnacentral:rRNA from 1 species